ACACGGAAGCAGUGAGUACGAAAUGCUCCGGUGCCAUAUGAUGUGACUGCGGCCGAUUAGGUAGACGGUGGGGUAACGGCCCACCGUGCCGAUAAUCGGUACGGGUGGUGAGAGCCAGAGCCCGGAGAUGGAAUCUGAGACAACAUUCCAGGCCCUAUGGGGCGCAGCAGGCGCGAAAACUUUACAGUGCGCGAUAGCGCGAUAAGGGGACCCCGAGUGCGAGGGCAUAACGUCCUCGCUUUUGUAUAUCGUAAGAAGAUACACGAAUAAGGGCUGGGCAAGACCGGUGCCAUCCGCCGCGGUAAUACCGGCAGCUCCAGUGAUGAUCACAAUUAUUGUGCCUAACGCGUCCGUAGCCGGUCGAACAUGUCCUUCGGUAAAUCCACUCGCUCAACUAGUGGGCUCUCGAYGGAAACUGUUCUACUUGGGGACGGUAGAUCUGAUGGGUACGUCUAAGGUAAGAGUGACAUCCUGUAAUCCUAUACGGACCGCCGGUGGCGAAAGCGCCUCACAAGAACGGACCCGACGGUCAGGGACGAAAGCUACGGUCUCGAACCGGAUUAAAUACCCGGGUACUCCUAACCGUAAACGAUGCUCGCUAGGUGUUGCGAAUGCUACCUGCUUUUGCUGUGCCCUACGGU
rnacentral:rRNA from 1 species